ACUCUUAUAGUUCAACAGGAGAGAACACCGUCCUUCUAAGGCGGCUAUGUGGGUUCGAGUCCUACUAGGAGUA
rnacentral:tRNA from 1 species